CGCAAAAAUCCAACCCAAAAAUAUGUAAAUGACGUUCACGCGAUAUGUAAAUAUUCACAAUCAUGUCAAAAUACACAUAAAAUUAAAUGCUAAUUCUACUAGUACUGGCCGCAUACGAUUACAUAUAUAUUUCAAGGACAUUUAACUCACCUUUAUAGGCACAAAUACAAUUGUUUUCGUAAUGUUUUUCGCUUUCCAAUGUCGCUUUGCUUCUUCCCACAACAACAACCGAGUCACACACGUGUACGAAAAUGAUACUACCCCUCUGCAUUGCAGGCGCCGCGCCACCCCCUGGUUACG